rnacentral:lncRNA from 1 species
GUCGUCGUGCUCGUCGUCGUGGUGCUCGUCGUCGUGGUGCUCGUCGUCGUGGUGCUCGUCGUCGUGGUGCUCGUCGUCGUGGUGCUCGUCGUCGUCGGGCUUGUCGUCGUCGGGCUUGAGCUCGGGCUUGUCGUCGGCGGGCUUGAGCUCGGGCUUGUCGUCGUCGUGGCCGCCGCCGCCGCAGAGCUCUUCAAAUCCGGGGGCGAUGCGUCCGUCCGGACCGUGCUUCCAGAAGCACGGAUCCUCGUCGAUCAUGGAGCCCAUAGGGUGAUCCAUCAUGGAGCCCAUAGGGUGAUCCAUCAUGGAGCCCAUAGGGUGAUCCAUCAUGGAGCCCAUAGGGUGAUCCAUCAUGGAGCCCAUAGGCAUAUCCAUCAUGGAGCCAAUAGGGUGAUCCAUCAUGGAGCCCAUAGGCAUAUCCAUCAUGGAGCCAAUAGGGUGAUCCAUCAUGGAGCCAAUAGGGUGAUCCAUCAUGGAGCCAAUAGGGUGAUCCAUCAUGGAGCCCAUCAAGUCGUGGUGCUCCUCGCCGGGCGCCGUCGCGUUCACCGUGGAGACGGCCGCGGGAACCUCGGGGGCGGGAACCUCGGGGGGCGCUGUACCAUUAGGGGCCGCAGGACCCGCGGGGCCCGCGGGACCCCCGCUGAACUCGCCCUCGAACGACGACGCGUCGUUCACCUUUUCGGCUUCGUCCGCCGUCGGGCAAUCCUCCCCGCCGACUUUGCUCCAGCACUUGCCCUCGUCCCACUCGCAACCCAGCACGGCGGCGCAGCUCGCCUCCGUGUUGAGCUCGUCGUGGCCCUCGCAGACGGUCUCGCACCCCAUCGUGCCGGGGUACUCGUGCGACCCGGGGCCGCCGCCCUCCUCGAAGCCGUAGUCGGUUCGAUGCGGGACGUCCGCGGCGGGGAGGACGUGCGUCCACGUGUGCCCCGCGGCUGCCGCGUCCUUGCGGAACUUGAGGCACGCGGUCUGGCCGAUCUCGCCCGGCCAGUUCUCGCACGGCGUCGCGGACAUCAAAAAGUCGCGCGCUU